GAUGAAGAACGCAGCGAAAUGCGAUAAUUAAUGUGAAUUGCAGAAUUCAGUGAAUCAUCGAGUCUUUGAACGCACAUUGCGCCCCUUGGUAUUCCGAGGGGCAUGCCUGUUCGAGCGUCAUUACACCACUCAAGCACCGCUUGGUAUUGGGCAUCGUCCGUCGAAAGGCGGGCGUGCCUCGAAGACCUCGGCGGGGUUUCUCCAACUUCGGGCGUAGUAGAGUUAAAUCAAAACGUCUUAUAAGCUUGGUGAGAUCUCAUUGCCGUUAAACCUUUUAUUUUUUCAGGUUGACCUCGGAUCAGGUAGGGAUACCCGCUGAACUUAAGCAUAUCAAUAAGCGGAGGA
rnacentral:misc_RNA from 1 species